CCACAGGUUUCUCCCUCCUCUGUCUACUCACCAGGCCUCUCUGAGGACGCAGGAGGCGGGGUUGCCGUGGGGGAGGAGCACCCUGCAGAUGGCGCCCUGACUUUGGCAAGGAAGGGGCUCCAGGGUCACAUGGAGGUCAAAGGAGAGCGGGGCAUGGCGAGGGCUGCUCACACAGGGUCCUGGCCACCCACGGGAACUAACUGAAAGAGCAGGGGGCAUUGAGGCCCUGAAGACACAGGGAGAACGCAGGCCACCUGGGCGGAGGGGACGUUUCGCUCAUGCAGUCAUCAACAAACUUUAACUGAGGGACACAAGGGAAUCUCCAGAGAUUUAAGGAGUAAGUGCAUGAAAAGAAAGAAGGAAGGAGAGAGGACAGAGUCCCUGCACUGUCGGAACUCUCCUUGAAUAUAAGAUGACGGCUCAGAUGAAAAAAAUACCUACAAUGCAGAAUCAUGCAGGAGGUGCUAUAAAACUCUCCCAAAAUGAAGAAAAGAGAAAAAUCCUCGCCUUCGGGAGUCCACCUUGACAGCCCCAGCCCCGCACCCAGGGCCUGGCACACAAACAGCAAGCCGGGCCUCGGUGGAGUAGGUGCACCUGGGGCUGCAGGGCAGGGGGACCUGGACAGGUCUCAGAGGGGGCUGCUGAGAGGAGGGGAGGGGCUCGGUGGAAGGGUCAGUGGCCUGGCCCGGAAACCAUCCCGGAGGAGUUCCCUGGGAGCCGGAAGUCUGCAGAGCUGUCCCCAGGAGGCCACUGCAGGGGCCCCUUGCAGAUUCGUAGGUGGAAGCCUUCACCCCUGCCUGGUACCUCAGAAUGUGACCUAUUUUGGCGCAGGGCCUUUCCAGAGGCUCCACCUCCUCAGGGUUCCACCACCCCCUAAGAACACCAGAUUGAAGACCAGGCUUUCAACAUAUAGGCCUUUGGAAGAUGGCCCAGACCUAAACUAUGGCACCUGGUUUCUUACAACCACCUUUCAAACAUGGCCACUGGCAAUGACACAUAGCCUCCUGGAAAGCUGACCAGAUUGACUUCCACCCUCUGUGCUACUGACAUCAGAGGCACCGUGGGCAGAUCUGAACGUUAUCGAAGCACCGUAUUCUGGAACUUCCUGCCAAAUUUGCCUAUGGCACAUGGCUGAUUAUUUCAAGGUUGUCGUCUCUUUCCCUCUGGCUCCAGGCCAACUCCUGUACUCCCUAAACCGUGUGGCUGCCGACAGCAUGCAGAUCUGACAUCUGUCAGUCAAGCUUUGAGACAGAGAGCCAGCCAGUACUCUUCGCCUCCCACAUCCAAGUCCCUGGGGAAGAAAUUCCACCAGGCCUGCUCAUCCACAUGAAGUGCCUAGCACCAUGCCUGACAGUGAGAAGCAUGCGGCAGUGUCAGCUGGUCUUAAUACUGGAAGUGGUGAUAGGAUUUUUUAAUAUCCAUAAUAAUUACUAGGGCCUCUGUGUCGGUGUCUGCACAGCUCUGUUUUGUGGAUGACAGUGUUCUUGUGUGGAAUCAGCGGAUACUUAACAGCCACCUGGGCCUCUGUGGCCAAGCCCACUUCAGGCUUCAGAAGCUGGAACAACCAUAGCCAUAGGCAGCUAAAUAGGCUAACUCCCCACAACCUACCAGCUCCAUUUGGACAGCAUAAAUCCUGCUUGACAGCCCCCAGCUCUGAGCCCAUGACUAAGAAAUUCUCUUUUAAGUAGAAGAUAACAUGGUUGGACAGUGACUACCAUUUGCAAACAAAAAUUCGAAAGAAAAUGGGUGCCCCGAGAAGGCUGCGCCAGGAAGCACAGGAGCAGGGAGGGAGAGAAACCCUUCCAGAUCACACCCGCAAGGAUCACUCCUCCAACCAGACCCCACCUCCUAACAGCAAGGCAGCUGUGCUGCCCAUGUGGCUGAGUCACCUUCCAGAACCCCCACCUAUGAGUGCAUGAGGCCUCUGGGGGACAUUCUUGGUCUAAAUCACAAUAAUCUUCAGUACUGAAACACACACACACAAAACAAAGGGCUAGAGGUGUGACUCAGUAUUCCCUGGCUUUAAUCUCCAGUGCUGUAAAUAAAUAAGUAAAUUUUAAAAACAGAAAAUAAUAAGUAAAAUGAGGAUGUGGAGAAAUCAGAACCCUUGUGGCAGGUAGGAAUGUAAAAAUUGUACAACCGCUAUGGAAAACAGUAUGAGGGUUCCUCAGAAAUGUAAAGUAGAAUUACCGUAUUACCCAGCAACACUACUUGUAGAUAUAUACCCAAAAGAAUUGUUUGUUUAUUUUUUUUACUGGGGAUCAAACUCUGGUCCUUGCACCUGCAAGGCAGGCAGCGGAACCACUGAGCUAAAUCCCCAGCCCUAUACCCAAAAGAAUUGAAGGUAGGAUCUCCAAGGAAUAUGGGUGUAUUCAUGUUCAUAGCACCAUUGAUUAACAUAAGCCAAAAGAUGGAAGCAAUCACCAAAUGUCACUGACAGCUAAAUGGAUAAGCAAAAUACAAUGCAUGCAUACAAUGGCAUAUUAUUGUAUCAGUCUGCUCAGGCUCCCAUAAUAAAACACUAUAAACUAAAUGACUUGAACAACAUGGAUGUAUUUUCUCACAAAUAUAAACUAGAUGUCUAAGAUCAAGUCUCUGCCUGAUUCAGCUUUGGAUCAGGGUCUCGUCCUGGCUUGCAAAUAGCUGGCUGCUCCGUGUGUCCUCACAUGAUCUUUUCUUGGUGCCUGUGUGUGGAGGGACAAAAAGACAGACACAGACAGAGAGAACCAGCCCUCCAGUGUCUCUUCUUGUAAGGAGACUAACUCUAUCAGAGCAUGGCUCCACUACCCUUGUGACCUCAUUUAAAAAUGAAGGAAAUGGGCUGGGGAUUUAGCUCAGUGGCAUUGUGCCUGCCUUGCAAGUGCAAGGUCCUGAGUUCAAUCCCUGGUACCCGCCCCCAAAAACAAGGAAAUUUUGACAUCUGCUCCAAUAAGAAUGACCUCAAGGACAUAAUGCAAGGUGAAAUGAGCCAGCUACACACAAAAAAGACAAAUACUAUCUGAUCCAAUUAUAAAGUUCUUAGCAUCAUCAGGUUCAAAGAGACAGAAAGUAGAAUGCUGGUUGUCAGGGACUAAGAGGAAGAAGGGUGUGUUAGUUACCUUUCUCUCUCAUUGCUGAGACAAAAUACCUGAUACCCAAAGUUAGAAGGGAAGGGGUUUAUUUGGCUUAUAGUUUAUAGAAGUUUCAGCCCAUAAUCAGCUGACUCCAAGGAAGGGAUGACAAACAGGCAUGGCAGAACAGAAACAACAUGGCACACACAAGGCAGCAAAGGUAAUGAGAGAAAAUUACUGCUGUCUCCCUGGCCCUUUUAUUUUAUUAAAGCUACUUAGGGUGGAAAGCACUCACACCCUUAAUCCUAGUGCCCUUGAGCCUAGCAUUGCAUCAUGAAUCAAUUCCAGCUUCACACACCCUACCUAGAUCAAGCCUAUGACCACGUGAGGCUUUGGGAGACAUCCAGACCCAAACCGUAACAGAGGGAAUGAAGAAUUGUUGUGUAAUGGAGACAGAGUUUCAGUUUUGCAAAAUGAAGAGAGCUUUGGAGAUUAGUUGCUCAACAGUAUGAAUGUACUUAACACUACUGAACCAUACACUUGAAAAUGGCUAAGAUGGUAAGUUUGCUGAAAUGUGAGUUUUAUCACAAUUAAAAAUAACCAACAAACAAAGAAAUCCCCACUAGGAACACCACUCCACUCCUGCCUCCACUCCUAGAGUACUGGGGGUGAAAGGCAGGUGCUUUGAAAUAAGGAAGACCUGGCUUCACCUCUGCACCUCCCACAGCUACAAGGUAGCUGCCCAGUCUUCAAAAUGCAUCUUAUCCUUCAAAUGACUAAAUCUCAUUGAAUAUCAGGUUCCCUGCUGACUUUCUUGGGACUCUAGCAAAUUCCCAGUGGUCAGACUGCCUUGCAGUCCCUUAGCAGAUCCUCAGCAGAAGCAGAAGCUGGUAACUGGCAGCUGACCUGGGUCCUAAGUAUCUGAGUGCUGCACUGUCUGUAUUCUCCUCACCCCAUUGGCCCGUGUUUCAACAGCAUCCUACAGGGACUCCGCAUGUCUGACUUCAGAAAGAAAGAGCAGCAUGACUCCACUGCCAUUAAACUUGUCAAGAUUGUUCCCCAGAAGGUGCUCCCAGACCUAACGCUGACACCGAGGAAAGACCCUAGUUGGUUAUUUUGACACAUUCAGCCCAACUCUGCAACGGACUCAGUGACAUCCUCACUGGGCAGUUAGUUUCACAUCAGAGAAUACUUUGAUCCAUUCCAUGGGAUGCUCAAUGUGGAAUCAUUUAUCUUCCCUCUAGCUUUUAAAAAUGAGGAACUAGCCAGGUUUGGUGGUACACAAC
ensembl:lncRNA